UACAGAGGGUGCGAGCGUUAAUCGGAAUUACUGGGCGUAAAGCGCGCGUAGACGGUUUUGUAAGUCGGAUGUGAAAUCCCCGGGCUCAACCUGGGAACUGCAUUCGAUACUGCUUGGCUAGAGUACGGUAGAGGGAAGCGGAAUUUCCGGUGUAGCGGUGAAAUGCGUAGAUAUCGGAAGGAACACCAGUGGCGAAAGCGGCUUCCUGGACCAGUACUGACGUUCAUGUGCGAAAGCGUGGGGAGCGAACAGG
rnacentral:rRNA from 1 species